rnacentral:sRNA from 1 species
AAGCCCAUGGUCUACAUCCAGCCCCCUCUUUCUAUGGUUUGGUACAAUGGACAAUGAGUUGCAGCUACCACUGUAGCAUUUUAUAGAGAGCUUUCAUUGACCUAAUUAUUUUUUUUAUUUUGAUAAACAUGUUAUUCAUGUACAUUCGUCAGCCUGGUAAGGACUUGAAAGUUUGACUAAGGAAGGCAAACUCGAUUUUUGUUGUUAAUUAUAUAAUGACAGGAAAUAUUUAAGUACCAGAUAGAUGGUUUUCCUUUUUAGAGUCAGGUUAAUGCCUCUUUAAGAAGGCCCCCUUCUUGGUGGGCCAUGGAUUUCUCAAGUCAGUAUCUGCUGUGGGAUCACGACUAGAACACCCUUCCCAAGCAUCUUCUGUUGUCAUGGACACCCUUCUUGAGCAUUCUCUGUUGCCAUGGACACCCUUCUCAUGUAUCCUGUUUCCUGAAAGGGAAGGGGGAAGAAGGACUCUAGUUGAUUUUCAGUUGAAGCCCAGAUGGAUGAAGAACUUUGCAUCCCUGUCAGUGAAAUACAUUCUCAGAGCAUUGAAUAGAGCUGCUGGAGUUUUGUUUGGCUCAUCUGAUCCUGAAGAUUCUAAACGCACUUGGCACCCUCUCGGGGUGUUCCCUAAGACCAAGAAAAUUGCCUGCUCUCAAUUCUCUGAAAAUGAAGGCUCUUCCCUAAUGAGCUGAGAAAUACCUUCAUUAGUGCUUCUCGAUCUGCCUCUGCUUGGCUCGGAAUUCAGCGGUGUAAUUCCACGGAUGCUCUUUCUCAUCGUCUGAAUACAGGCACGCCGGAAUCCGAUUCUCAUUUCUCCACAGAUGUUCUGAUGGCAGAGUGAAUGUGAACAGUAACAAACAGCACCGCUGAUGUAAUAAGCAGACCUGAGGAAGAGAGUAUCCCAAGGGGGGCAUAGUACCUGACUCUAAGUAUAGCAUGUGUGACCUCAACUAAACCAGUACAGCAUUGGUAUGGGAUCAUACAUAGGCACUAGGAUGGAGAACCCAGGAAGAAAACCCACAUGGCGGCACCUCUUGGAUUCUUAGCAAAGGUGCCAUGAACCUAUGUUGGAAUUUAGGGAGUCUCUGUAGCAGGCGGUGUGGAAGGCUGGAGAAAAGUGUUGAAUAUCUUCAUUUGUCAGGAAAACACAAAUAAAAAAACCUUUAAUAUUAAUAGCAUUGAUAUUUAAUGGUCCCUUGAGUCAAAAUGGGGGCUAUCAUGAAAAACAAACAAACAAAUAAAAAAUAAAAACCAGUAACAACAAGUACUGGUGAGGAUUUGGACUGGAAAGAACUCCUGUGUCAGUAAGAAUGUAUACUAGCACAGGCUCGAAAAGCAGAACUGGGAGAAGUAGAAGUUAGAAGCCAUAUGACUCAGCUACCACCCAUAUAUUCACACUGUAAGUCAGAGGACUAGACAUUCUACCCCAUUCGUCGUCGUCGUCAUGGUGGGUGGAUUCACAAGUCACAUGCUGGACUCUUCACAAGAGCCCUAUCAUGGGGUCUGUGUAGGUGUCCACGGAACUGAGGGAGGGGCAAGAAAAAGUACGAAGCACAUACUCAUUUGAUAAUUAUGCGGUCCUCUAGAAAAAUAAAAUCAAGAAAAUAAAAAUAAAAGCAAGAAAAAGGGUAGACUUCGUUGACAUGUUAUGGGAGGCAAGCCAGACUCAGGAAGACAAGUGUUAUAUGUGUUCUUUCAUAUGUGGAACAUAUGACGUAAAUGAAUAAAAGCAGAGGAAGGGUCAGGAAGAGAAAGGAGAGAGAGACAGGGCAGAAACAGGUGGAGAUGAUCAAACGAUGCUGUAUGCAUGCAUGCAAAUGCCCCAAUGAAAUGGUGGUGAUGUAUUCAGUCUAGUGGAGAGGCUGGGGUUGUAGAUCAAUGGGUAGAGCAUUGUGUGAAGGCCCAGGUUUAUCCCAGCACCGCAUAAACCAGGUGUGAUGGCACAUGCCUGCAAUAUUAGCAGUAGGUGAAGGGAGGGAGUUCAAAAGUUUAAGGCCAUCCUUAGCUAUAUGGUACGUUGGAGGCUAGCCUAGUCUACACGAGACUCUAAGGGAAAAAUAAAAUCAACUGAAUGAAGGAUUGGAUGAGGGCUCCCAUGAGGAGGCCUGCGAGGAUAAGUCCAUAGAGCCUGGGAUUUUACAGGCUUCAGGUUUUGCAGAAUCACAUUUUAAAGACUUGUUCAAAAGAGAACCCCCUCCCCUGAUCUUGUGUUAAUAUCUUCAUUGGUACCUAGUGCAGAUUAUAACAAUUUAGGAAUGUGUCUUGAGGGCUACAGACAGAGAGACAUGUUUGAGUGAUUUCUCUAAAAUUACUCCUUUAUCGGAGCUUUAUGAUCUCUCUGGGAAGAGAGGGUUUAUGAUGUUGGCUUACUGUGCUUGCUUUGGCUGUUUGAUACGGACAGAAUGGGUUUCCACACAGCAUUUAAUGAGCCCCUUUAUUUUAAGGGCCCAUUUAUCCAACGGUGUUAUCCUUAAAAUAUAUUUUCAUUUUAAGGUGUGUGUGUGU